rnacentral:rRNA from 1 species
UACGAAGGGGGCUAGCGUUGCUCGGAAUCACUGGGCGUAAAGCGCGCGUAGGCGGCUUUGUAAGUUAGAGGUGAAAGCCCGGAGCUUAACUCCGGAACUGCCUUUAAGACUGCAUCGCUAGAAUUGUGGAGAGGUGAGUGGAAUUCCGAGUGUAGAGGUGAAAUUCGUAGAUAUUCGGAAGAACACCAGUGGCGAAGGCGACUCACUGGACACAUAUUGACGCUGAGGUGCGAAAGCGUGGGGAGCAAACAGG